rnacentral:rRNA from 1 species
CACGUAGGGCGCAAGCGUUGUCCGGAAUUAUUGGGCGUAAAGAGCUCGUAGGUGGUUUGUUACGUCUGCUGUGAAAUCCUAGGGCUUAACCCUGGGCUUGCAGUGGAUACGGGCAGACUAGAGGUAGGUAGGGGAGAAUGGAAUUCCUGGUGUAGCGGUGAAAUGCGCAGAUAUCAGGAAGAACACCCGUGGCUAAGGCGGCUCUCUAGUACGGUACUGACGCUGAGACGCGAAAGCGUGGGGAGCGAACAGG